rnacentral:rRNA from 1 species
GGUGAGUAAUGCCUAGGAAUCUGCCUGGUAGUGGGGGACAACGUUUCGAAAGGAACGCUAAUACCGCAUACGUCCUACGGGAGAAAGCAGGGGACCUUCGGGCCUUGCGCUAUCAGAUGAGCCUAGGUCGGAUUAGCUAGUUGGUGAGGUAAUGGCUCACCAAGGCGACGAUCCGUAACUGGUCUGAGAGGAUGAUCAGUCACACUGGAACUGAGACACGGUCCAGACUCCUACGGGAGGCAGCAGUGGGGAAUAUUGGACAAUGGGCGAAAGCCUGAUCCAGCCAUGCCGCGUGUGUGAAGAAGGUCUUCGGAUUGUAAAGCACUUCAAGUU